rnacentral:rRNA from 1 species
GAUGAACGCUGGCGGCGUGCCUAAUACAUGCAAGUCGAGCGAACAGACGAGGAGCUUGCUCCUCUGACGUUAGCGGCGGACGGGUGAGUAACACGUGGAUAACCUACCUAUAAGACUGGGAUAACUUCGGGAAACCGGAGCUAAUACCGGAUAAUAUAUUGAACCGCAUGGUUCAAUAGUGAAAGACGGUUUUGCUGUCACUUAUAGAUGGAUCCGCGCCGCAUUAGCUAGUUGGUAAGGUAACGGCUUACCAAGGCAACGAUGCGUAGCCGACCCGAGAGGGUGAUCGGCCACACUGGAACUGAGACACGGUCCAGACUCCUACGGGAGGCAGCAGUAGGGAAUCUUCCGCAAUGGGCGAAAGCCUGACGGAGCAACGCCGCGUGAGUGAUGAAGGUCUUCGGAUCGUAAAACUCUGCUAUUAGGGAAGAACAAAUGUGUAAGUAACUAUGCACGUCUUGACGGUACCUAAUCAGAAAGCCACGGCUAACUACGUG